rnacentral:rRNA from 1 species
UACGAAGGGGGCUAGCGUUGCUCGGAAUCACUGGGCGUAAAGCGCACGUAGGCGGCUUUCUAAGUCAGGGGUGAAAUCCUGGAGCUCAACUCCAGAACUGCCUUUGAUACUGGAGAGCUUGAGUCCGGAAGAGGUGAGUGGAACUCCGAGUGUAGAGGUGAAAUUCGUAGAUAUUCGGAAGAACACCAGUGGCGAAGGCGGCUCACUGGUCCGAUACUGACGCUGAGGUGCGAAAGCGUGGGGAGCAAACAGG